CUGAGCAGAGCAAAACCAUUGGUGUGGAGACAUCACCGCCGUGGGUAUGCAAAGCGGGGAAAAGGGUCCGCCGCGGGUGCUCCUGCGCGGGGUAGCCCUGCUCGUGUGAGUUGUGACUGCUCCCUGCACGGCGGUCGCCCCUGCGUCGGACACCUCACCCCCUGUGCUGGAACUCGACGUCCGUGCUCCUCUGCCCAAAGCCGGUUGCUCCUCCUCCUAUCCCACCUCUCUAGAGCUUCAGUGACCGGGCUGGGAGAGAUGCACGCAGUUAGGAGCUCGGCGGGGACCACCGUCGCGAGUUCAUCGGUGGCGCUCUGUGGCCGGUGUGCUGUGGGUCAAUACCGCGAACGCCCCCUCAACCGUCCCAUACCAGCGGUGGGGCCUGGGCGUGUUGGCCAGGGAGUUUCUUGGGCGCACCUGGAACUGCACCGUGGCGACCGCGGGCGUGAAGGUGUGGGCAUCGUGGAGGAAUUUCUCACUGGUGCUGCGGGCCCGCGCAUCGCCGCGUGCCAUCAUCACCACGCCCGGAUUUUUGGUGAGAGUGCCCUGUAA
rnacentral:misc_RNA from 1 species